CGUCCCGCUUGGAGCUGUACGACAACGAGGACGAGAGCUGGAGCAGCCCCCAGGGCUUCGCCGCCAGCAACCAAGCGGCCACUUGGGAAGGCUCGGAAACCCCCAACAUCUACAUCAGCCUGGAGAAUGUGGACACCUCGCAGAGGAUCCACAUCCAGAGACCCGCCAGCAUCAUCCCCCGAGCCGAACCCGGAGCCACGCGGCCGAGAGCCGAGAGCCCACGGCGGG